AAUUCUAUCGAAAUCCAUGGCCCAAUUCUAAGCAUUUAAACAUAGCAUCGGGCUAAUAUUUGUCCUUUUUUCCCCUGCACUUGGGAAAGUCAUCUUGCGAAAGGCCAGCAGGAGAAAGAGGAAGGAGCCAGGAUCCAAAGGAUUCCUAUGAGGGGACACCUCCAAUGAUCAAAGAACCUUUCAUGAGAUCACACUAGUCAAAGAUUCUUCCCUGCCUGGUAGCAUCAACCUUGGCCAUGGCCCUUCAGGGGAAAUUCAAUAUCCGAACAACAGCAGGAAGUAUGACUUGCCCAGCAUCCUUCAAGUGGUCCAAGCCACUUUGUGACUGCAAGAGAAGCUGAGGAUUGGAGCCUCUCUGUGUUGUAAGACAGAGGAAGAAAAAUCGUGGAGAACAGCCAGCCAGUGGCAACACUAGAGACUCAACGGGAUACUGUAAGAAUGCACCAUUUUGAAGGCGCCAUCUUGAAGGAGCCACCUUGAAGGAGCCAUCUUGAAGGCACCAUCUUGAAGGAGCCAUUUUGAAGGCACCAUCUUGAAAAUGCCAUCUUGAAGGUGCCAUCUUGAAGGUGCCAUCUGGGAAGUGGAAAGCAGCCCUCACCAUACAUCAGUCCUACUGCAGCUGUGAUCUUGGACUUCUCAUACUCAGGAAAGAUGGGAAAUA